ACGGAAGGCAGCAGUGGGGAAUAUUGCACAAUGGGGGAAACCCUGAUGCAGCAACGCCGCGUGAGUGAAGAAGUAUUUCGGUAUGUAAAGCUCUAUCAGCAGGGAAGAUAAUGACGGUACCUGACUAAGAAGCUCCGGCUAAAUACGUGCCAGCAGCCGCGGUAAUACGUAUGGAGCAAGCGUUAUCCGGAUUUACUGGGUGUAAAGGGUGCGUAGGUGGCAGGGCAAGUCAGAUGUGAAAGACCGGGGCUCAACUCCGGGGCUGCAUUUGAAACUGUCUUGCUGGAGUGCAGGAGAGGUAAGCGGAAUUCCUAGUGUAGCGGUGAAAUGCGUAGAUAUUAGGAGGAACACCGGUGGCGAAGGCGGCUUACUGGACUGAAACUGACACUGAGGCACGAAAGCGUGGGGAGCAAACAGGAUUAGAUACCCUGGUA
rnacentral:rRNA from 1 species